rnacentral:rRNA from 1 species
AUUGAACGCUGGCGGCAGGCCUAACACAUGCAAGUCGAACGAGUGGCGGACGGGUGAGUAAUGUAUGGGAAUCUGCCCUAUGGAGGGGGAUAACUACUGGAAACGGUAGCUAAUACCGCAUACCAUCGGAUUAGCCCAAAUGGGAUUAGCUAGUAGGUGGGGUAACGGCUCACCUAGUCGACGAUCCCUAGCUGUUCUGAGAGGAUGACCAGCAACACCGGAACUGAGACACGGUCCAGACUCCUACGUGAGGAAGCAGUGGGGAAUAUUGCCCAAUGGGCGCAAGCCUGAUGCAGCCAUGCCGCGUGUAUGAAGAAGGCCUUAGGGUUGUAAAGUACUUUCAGCGGGGAGGCGUUACUCGCAGAAGAAGCACCGGCUAACUCCGUGCCAGCAGCCGCGGUAAUAC